UCCUCGGUAGCUCAAGUGGUAGAGCAACUGUCUACUAAACAGGAGGUUGUGUGUUCGAUCCGCACCCAGGGAG
rnacentral:tRNA from 1 species